AUGAACGCUAGCGGCAGGCUUAACACAUGCAAGUCGAGGGGUAUAGGUUUUCGGAUCUAGAGACCGGCGCACGGGUGCGUAACGCGUAUGCAAUCUACCUUUCACAGAGGGAUAGCCCAGAGAAAUUUGGAUUAAUACCUCAUAGUAUUAUAGAAUGGCAUCAUUUUAUAAUUAAAGUCACAACGGUGAAAGAUGAGCAUGCGUCCCAUUAGCUAGUUGGCAUGGUAACGGCAUACCAAGGCAACGAUGGGUAGGGGUCCUGAGAGGGAGAUCCCCCACACUGGUACUGAGACACGGACCAGACUCCUACGGGAGGCAGCAGUGAGGAAUAUUGGUCAAUGGGCGCAAGCCUGAACCAGCCAUGCCGCGUGCAGGAUGACGGUCCUAUGGAUUGUAAACUGCUUUUGCACAGGAAGAAACAACGCUACGUGUAGCGUCUUGACGGUACUGUGAGAAUAAGGAUCGGCUAACUCCGUG
rnacentral:rRNA from 1 species